rnacentral:misc_RNA from 1 species
GAUGAAGAACGUAGCGAAAUGCGAUAAGUAGUGUGAAUUGCAGAAUUCAGUGAAUCAUCGAAUCUUUGAACGCACAUUGCGCCCGCCAGUAUUCUGGCGGGCAUGCCUGUUCGAGCGUCAUUUCAACCAUCAAGCCCCCGGCUUGUGUUGGGGACCUGCGGCUGCCGCAGGCCCUGAAAAGCAGUGGCGGGCUCGCUGUCACACCGAGCGUAGUAGCAUACAUCUCGCUCUGGGCGUGCUGCGGGUUCCGGCCGUUAAACCACCUUCAUAACCCAAGGUUGACCUCGGAUCAGGUAGGAAGACCCGCUGAACUUAAGCAUAUCAAUAAGCGGGGA